AGAACUUAGCAGAGAUGCUUUGGUGCCUUCGGGAACUCUGAGACAGGUGCUGCAUGGCUGUCGUCAGCUCGUGUUGUGAAAUGUUGGGUUAAGUCCCGCAACGAGCGCAACCCUUAUCCUUUGUGCCAGCGGUUAGGCCGGGAACUCAAAGGAGACUGCCAGUGAUAAACUGGAGGAAGGUGGGGAUGACGUCAAGUCAUCAUGGCCCUUACGAGUAGGGCUACACACGUGCUACAAUGGCGCAUACAAAGAGAAGCGACCUCGCGAGAGCAAGCGGACCUCAUAAAGUGCGUCGUAGUCCGGAUUGGAGUCUGCAACUCGACUCCAUGAAGUCGGAAUCGCUAGUAAUCGUGGAUCAGAAUGCCACGGUGAAUACGUUCCCGGGCCUUGUACACACCGCCCGUCACACCAUGGGAGUGGGUUGCAAAAGAAGUAGGUAGCUUAACCUUCGGGAGGGCGCUUACCACUUUGUGAUUCAUGACUGGGGUGAAGUCGUAACAAGGUAGGCGUAGUGCU
rnacentral:rRNA from 1 species